AGUCGGUGACUCCCCCCUCCAAAAAGGGAUGGGGAACAGUGCUGCGUGUGGGAGGGAGGAAGAGAAGGAUGGGAAAAGUGGUAGGGCUCACUCUUCGGUCAUUAUUAUUGUUAAGAAACAUGGACAGACUCUGAGAUUACAGAGUCCAGAAUGAGUGUUGAAGAAACAGCAGAAGGGACCUAUAGACCCUGGAGUUGUGGUUGAGGAAACACUUCAGUACCCUGCCUUACUGCAGCAGUGAUGUCAAACUCAAAUGGAAACUGGGCCACUUAGCCAUGCAUAAGAAUCCUUGCAGGAGAGUGAUCUUUGAACUAGGAAGAACAAGUCAAAGUGACCAACGAGGAGUUGAUACCAACAUAUGUAGGGAGGUAAUGUAAGAAGACAAGGACAAGUUAGCAGGCCCAGAUGAACUACAUACGUCUUCAAGUACUAAAGAAAUGGUAGAUAUAGCUGCUGGACCACUGUCAGCAGUCUCAGAAAAAUCAUGGAGAAGUAGAGAGGUACCCCCACCUUAUGUGAGGAGGACAAAUGACCAGUAUGUAUAUUUAGAUGAAACAUGGUCUAAUCUACAUCUUUGCUGACUGACCAAUUAGGAUAAUGUAGCCCAAGGGCAGUUGGUCCAAAGCUGAGUUGAUUCAUUCACCCAAGAUGUGGUCCCAGAGUAGAUGGUUGAAGAAUUUAGAACUAGUAGAACUACUGGACCCAAAGAGUAGUUUUUCAUGAUUCACUUUCAGUUAGGUAGGAAGACUCCAUUGCAGUGGCCCUAGGACUCUGUACUUGGCCCUGUGCUAUUUAUCGUUGCACAGAUGGCAUAUUAGACUUGUAGGUGACAGGGCUAGAAGGGAGAGCUAAUUCACUGAAUGACAAAAUGAGUAUUGAAAGAGACCUGGAUCAUCUGGAACACUGGACUUACUCUAAUAAGAUAAAAUGUGACCGGGAUAAAUGUAAAGUCUUUCACUCAGAUUCACACAAUCAGUUCACAGGUAAUAAGACUGGGGAACAUACAGAAAUUUUCUGAAAAAAAAUGGGGAUAGAAUAUUGUCCAUUAAACUCACCAAUCUGUGCUUACAUGGAUUGACAAUGAUGUCUAGGACUAGGGAAGUCAUAAUCCUGUCGUGCUGUGGCUUCAUCAUAGGAUCAUAAAUUUAGCUUUGGAAGAACCCUCAGAGUUUGACUAAUCUAACCCAUUCGUUUUACAUGUGAAAAAAUAGGUUAAGUGACUUGCUGAAAGUCACACAGGAGGUGUGUG